AGCUGGACACAAAAGUAUGCACGUCGUGCAUACACUGGAUGUAGCCUGCGGCGAACCGCUCACAGGCCUCCCGGUUCACGGCGUCCACUUCUACGGAGAGACGAGACAGAACGAACCGUUAGCUCAGAAGUUAGACAAACAUUGGACUCUCUGCUCUGAUUGGCUGACCAAGCGGUUGAAGACGCACACGUGCACCUGUGACCGCAUCACAGUUAAUUAGAAUAUUAAUGCACUAACAGUCAUAAAUUAAUUUGUGGGCCAGUUUUUAAGAACUAUAUUGUUCGGCGGAAGGGUGAAAUGUAGUCAAUGUGCUUAUUAAGGCUGUACUCAUUGGCCAAAAGUAGAAUAUUUAAUGAAUUGUUGCUUUGUGGCGUAUCUAUCACAUACAGUGUAUACAAUGAUUUACGUAGAUAUACCUUGAGCCCGGUUUUGCAGGAUGCUCUCCACCCGUUUCACUGUCAUUUCCAGCACUUCGGCAUUCUCCAUCUUUGAUUGUAACUGCAGCGGGUGACAAAAAAGCAUCUCAACUGGACGGUGUCUUCACUUCAUGUACUAGGACAUUGCCGACUCGCUACAUCCCUGUCGUCUCAUUGCCCUCUUCACCUCUACUGUGACCUCUGGGCCUGAGAGCCACUCUGCUG